AUUGAACGCUGGCGGCAUGCCUUACACAUGCAAGUCGAACGGCAGCACGGGAGCAAUCCUGGUGGCGAGUGGCGAACGGGUGAGUAAAGUAUCGGAACGUGCCCAGUCGUGGGGGAUAACGUAGCGAAAGUUACGCUAAUACCGCAUACGAUCUAUGGAUGAAAGCGGGGGAUCGCAAGACCUCGCGCGAUUGGAGCGGCCGAUAUCAGAUUAGGUAGUUGGUGGGGUAAAGGCUCACCAAGCCGACGAUCUGUAGCUGGUCUGAGAGGACGACCAGCCACGCUGGGACUGAGACACGGACCAGACUCCUACGUGAGGCAGCAGUGGGGAAUUUUGGACAAUGGGCGAAAGCCUGAUCCAGCCAUGCCGCGUGCAGGAUGAAGGCCUUCGGGUUGUAAACUGCUUUUGUACGGAACGAAAAGGUUUGGCCUAAUAAGCUGAGCUCAUGACGGUACCGUAAGAAUAAGCACCGGCUAACUACGUGCCAGCCGCCGCAGUAA
rnacentral:rRNA from 1 species